rnacentral:rRNA from 1 species
UAGGGAAUCUUCCGCAAUGGACGCAAGUCUGACGGAGCAACGCCGCGUGAGUGAAGAAGGAUUUCGGUUCGUAAAACUCUGUUGUUAGAGAAGAACAGCGCAUAGAGUAACUGUUAUGCGUGUGACGGUAUCUAACCAGAAAGCCACGGCUAACUACGUGCCAGCAGCCGCGGUAAUACGUAGGUGGCAAGCGUUGUCCGGAUUUAUUGGGCGUAAAGCGAGCGCAGGCGGUCAAUUAAGUCUGAUGUGAAAGCCCCCGGCUCAACCGGGGAGGGUCAUUGGAAACUGGUUGACUUGAGUGCAGAAGAGGAGAGUUGAAUUCCAUGUGUAGCGGUGAAAUGCGUAGAUAUAUGGAGGAACACCAGUGGCGAAGGCGACUCUCUGGUCUGUAACUGACGCUGAGGUUCGAAAGCGUGGGUAGCAAACAGG